rnacentral:rRNA from 1 species
CCAAUAGCGUAUAUUAAAGUUGUUGCAGUUAAAAAGCUCGUAGUUGAAUUUCGGGAUCAAUAUGUUGGUCGUGCCUUGGUACGUACUAAUUUAUUGGUUUCUUCCUUCUGACGAACCAUGAUGUCAUUAAUUUGGUGUCUUGGUGAAUCAGGACUGUUCCUUUGUAAAAAUUAGAGUGUUUAAAGCAGCCUCACGCUUGAAUACAUUAGCAUUGAAUAAUGAAAUAGGACGUUUGAUUCUAUUUUGUUGGUUUCUAGGAUUGACGUAAUGAUUAAUAGGGAUAGUUGGGGGCAUUAGUAUUCAAUUGUCAGAGGUGAAAUUCUUGGAUUUAUUGAAGACUAACUACUGCGAAAGCAUUUGCCAAGGAUGUUUUCAUUAAUCAAGAACGAAAGUUAGGGGAUCGAAGACGAUCAGAUACCGUCGUAGUCUUAACCAUAAACUAUGCCGACUAGGGAUCGGAUGAUGUUAAUUUUUUAAUGACUCAUUCGGCGCCUUACG